rnacentral:rRNA from 1 species
AACGCGAAGAACCUUACCUAGGUUUGACAUCCCUGGACCGAUGGAGAGAUCCAUUUUUCGUAGCAAUACGACCGGGAGACAGGUGCUGCAUGGCUGUCGUCAGCUCGUGUGGUGACAUGUUGGGUUAAGUCCCGCAACGAGCGCAACCCCUGUCUUUAGUUGCCAGCAUUCAGUUGGGCACUCUAAAGAGACUGCCGUGGUUAACACGGAGGAAGGUGGGGAUGACGUCAAGUCCUCAUGGCCUUUAUAUCUAGGGCGACACACGUGAUACAAUGGAUGGUACAGAGGGAAGCGAAACGGUGACGUGGAGCCAAUCUCAAAAAGCCAUUCUCAGUUCGGAUUGGAGUCUGCAACUCGACUCCAUGAAGUUGGAAUCGCUAGUAAUCGCGGAUCAGCACGCCGCGGUGAAUACGUUCCCGGGCCUUGUACACACCGGCUAC